rnacentral:lncRNA from 1 species
GCAAAUACUUCUAAUCACUUUUACAAAGUAUUAGCGUCACAAUAAAUAAGAAUAACUUGGAUAGAUUUAAAUAAAAGUAUGACAUUUUGAUAUUCAUCUAAAUUCUUUUCAAGCAUUGACCAAGGACAAGAGAACCCUAUCAAAUAGUUUAAUACCCCUACAUUUGAAGGAUAUCCAACCCAAAUUGAGUAAGUAUAUGAUCUUACUAUUUAUCUCUUUC